ensembl:snoRNA SNORD39 Small nucleolar RNA SNORD55/SNORD39
UUCAUCAAUGGCAUGAUUUUAAAGCUGUUUCACCCAAGUGCACAGCAGGGAAGCCAUCCUUGGAGAACUGAGCAUGCA